GCCCCGGUCGUUUAAUGGUCAGACUGUUCGGUCCGAGAGACCGGAUGAUGCAGGUUCAAAUCCUGCCCGGGGCG
rnacentral:tRNA from 1 species